rnacentral:rRNA from 1 species
UACGGGGGGGAGCAAGCGUUGUUCGGAUUUACUGGGCGUAAAGGGCGCGUAGGCGGCGCAACAAGUCACUUGUGAAAUCUCCGGGCUUAACUCGGAGCGGUCAAGUGAUACUGUCGUGCUAGAGUGCGGAAGGGGCUACUGGAAUUCUCGGUGUAGCGGUGAAAUGCGUAGAGAUCAUGAGGAAGACCAGUGGCGAAGGCGGGUCUCUGGACAGUUCCUGACACUGAGACACGAAGGCCAGGGGAGCAAACGGG